rnacentral:rRNA from 1 species
AUGAGCAAGCGACUACUGGGAGAAGAAGGAAAACAGAAGCUGAGAAGCGCAGGUGCAGCAUUGCUUCUUGCUAAGCGAGCAAUCAAUCUCCCAGGCAGCAUUGCAAGUUCUUCACCGGGAAGGGUGGAGCAGAGGUGUUUGGAUGGAAGCAGAAACGCUCAAGAAACACGGACAGCAUGCAUGGAGUCAGAGGUGAGGCCCGCACCUUGGGAUAAUCCGAGGAAGCAGAGGCAGGCCACGAGCUUGAUGCAGAGCGAGGACGCCGCCGCUCCCUUGCUGCUGGAAGCCAUGGAACCUGAGAAGCACCUGCCAGGCUAA